CGCUGGUCCAGCUUGUCGAUCGUCAGGAAGCCCUUCGACUCGUCAUUUUGAGCGGAGAUCUGGAAGCAUCGUCGGGCGAGCUGUUGAUCCCCGUGCAUCUCCCCGACCUCAUUUUUGGUCGGGAACCGAACGAGGAGAUGGUACAUCGAGAUGAUUGCCUUGAGGGCAUUUAGUCCGGGUCGUCCAAGUAUGGCGUUGUAGGCCGAAGGUACUUGGACGACCGCGAAAGUUAGGUGGACCGUGCUUUGCCGUGGUUCGGUGCCG
rnacentral:lncRNA from 1 species